rnacentral:rRNA from 1 species
AAAUUGAAGAGUUUGAUCAUGGCUCAGAUUGAACGCUGGCGGCAGGCCUAACACAUGCAAGUCGAACGGUAACAGGAAGCAGCUUGCUGCUUUGCUGACGAGUGGCGGACGGGUGAGUAAUGUCUGGGAAACUGCCUGAUGGAGGGGGAUAACUACUGGAAACGGUGGCUAAUACCGCAUAACGUCGCAAGACCAAAGAGGGGGACCUUCGGGCCUCUUGCCAUCAGAUGUGCCCAGAUGGGAUUAGCUUGUUGGUGAGGUAACGGCUCACCAAGGCGACGAUCCCUAGCUGGUCUGAGAGGAUGACCAGCCACACUGGAACUGAGACACGGUCCAGACUCCUACGGGAGGCAGCAGUGGGGAAUAUUGCACAAUGGGCGCAAGCCUGAUGCAGCCAUGCCGCGUGUAUGAAGAAGGCCUUCGGGUUGUAAAGUACUUUCAGCGGGGAGGAAGGUGUUGUGGUUAAUAACCGCAGCAAUUGACGUUACCCGCAGAAGAAGCACCGGCUAACUCCGUGCCAGCAGCCGCGGUAAUACGGAGGGUGCAAGCGUUAAUCGGAAUUACUGGGCGUAAAGCGCACGCAGGCGGUCUGUCAAGUCGGAUGUGAAAUCCCCGGGGCUCAACCUGGGAACUGCAUUCGAAACUGGCAGGCUUGAGUCUUGUAGAGGGGGGUAGAAUUCCAGGUGUAGCGGUGAAAUGCGUAGAGAUCUGGAGGAAUACCGGUGGCGAAGGCGGCCCCCUGGACAAAGACUGACGCUCAGGUGCGAAAGCGUGGGGAGCAAACAGGAUUAGAUACCCUGGUAGUCCACGCCGUAAACGAUGUCUACUUGGAGGUUGUGCCCUUGAGGCGUGGCUUCCGGAGCUAACGCGUUAAGUAGACCGCCUGGGGAGUACGGCCGCAAGGUUAAAACUCAAAUGAAUUGACGGGGGCCCGCACAAGCGGUGGAGCAUGUGGUUUAAUUCGAUGCAACGCGAAGAACCUUACCUGGUCUUGACAUCCACGGAAGUUUUCAGAGAUGAGAAUGUGCCUUCGGGAACCGUGAGACAGGUGCUGCAUGGCUGUCGUCAGCUCGUGUUGUGAAAUGUUGGGUUAAGUCCCGCAACGAGCGCAACCCUUAUCCUUUGUUGCCAGCGGUCCGGCCGGGAACUCAAAGGAGACUGCCAGUGAUAAACUGGAGGAAGGUGGGGAUGACGUCAAGUCAUCAUGGCCCUUACGACCAGGGCUACACACGUGCUACAAUGGCGCAUACAAAGAGAAGCGACCUCGCGAGAGCAAGCGGACCUCAUAAAGUGCGUCGUAGUCCGGAUUGGGAGUCUGCAACUCGACUCCAUGAAGUCGGAAUCGCUAGUAAUCGUGGAUCAGAAUGCCACGGUGAAUACGUUCCCGGGCCUUGUACACACCGCCCGUCACACCAUGGGAGUGGGUUGCAAAAGAAGUAGGUAGCUUAACCUUCGGGAGGGCGCUUACCACUUUGUGAUUCAUGACUGGGGUGAAGUCGUAACAAGGUAACCGUAGGGGAACCUGCGGUUGGAUCACCUCCUUACCUUAAAGAA